UAACCCUUCGUCUCAGAGACCCUGCAGCAGUUUACAAAUUAAUGCGAACUCGCACGUGUUAAUUCAAGGAUGUGCUGCUGGCGCUACUUUAUCCUUUUCUGUGUGUGUGAGAGAUGUGUGUGAGAGAAGAGAGAAAGAGUAUUUGUUUGUUCAAUUCGGUCGAAGUUUCGGUCUCGGUUUCGGGUUUUUGCGAGACAACCUGUGAGCUCUUCUCGGCAAACAUGAACUGUAUGAGGAUGACCAGUGCAACUCAUGCAACUGACACUGCUCAGCAAAUGCAGAUUGAGGCUAAAGAAGUCCUUGGCCGUCAACACGAAGCGCUGAUGCAGAGUCUGCAAUAGAAACUCACAGACCAAAUCGUUAUAACGCUUGCUGCCCAACGGUUUCACCAGCUUGGAGAUAAGGCAACCGAUCUGUCGACUCUGCAAGAGGGAAAUGUAAAUUACACAUAUUCCUACUUCUACGACGUUCUCACAUGAUUGUAACUUUGCUGACAGUGCCAGCAAAUGGCCGAGAAGAGCAGCGCCAUGUUGACAGUGAGCGCAAAGUGAAAGAGCAGCAUUGCCGGCGACGUGGGCCUCUGCAUGAGGUUCUUAACCACCCAAUACGAGUUGAAAACGAAGCUGACAAAGAACACUAUGAAUAUGGUCAACAGACUGAUGCCAUAGCCCAAGUUGAGUUGGGCAAACAAAUGGUUCAGUUCGCUGUAGCGUUGCUUCAACUGGAUCAGUGGCUCAACCUCUGGACGCUGUCGCUGACGAAUCGAUUGCUGCCUGGCAAGUAGCACGAGACUCUCGCGAACACUGGCCACCUGCACAUUGGCUGCCAGCACGUCGAAGAAGAAGGCAAAGAGCUUGAACUGCAACGCUACGGCGCUGGGUGAGACAAUCCAAAAGAGUGCCAAGGGUCCUUCGUCAUCGUGAAGCAGAAGACGCGAGACGGUAACAACGAUUUGCGUCGCAAUGGUGGGGAAUAUGAGAAAGCAACUGGACACGGUGACAGCUCGUUGAUGAUCAAAGUAAUUGAACUGCUGCAGCCGGAGGGCAUGAAGUUGACGACGCUGCACAAAAGUAUCGAAGAGAACAACAACAUGUCCGACUGUCAGCAGCAGAAAGAGCGUAUGAGAGAUGAGACAGUCGAGUGUGCACUCGUCAAAGUCUGAAGAUCUAGUUGCUGUGCGUGUCCAGAUCACGGGAUACCAGCACAUCCAAAAGCCCAGAAGCAGCAGCUGCAAGCGAUGGAGACUCGUGUGCCAGCAAACGCCAAAGAAAUACACGCAAAUUUGGAAAAACAAACGCGCUACACUCAACAGCUUCAUGAUGACUAAACACGGACAAAGUUUCGACUUAACCAAAGCAAACUCAGGCAAAAAAGUGCAGCGUCAGCAGAGUGAUACAUCAAGUUGACAGCAUUUACUUACGUUCUGAGUGCUUGCAUCGCCGUACCAGAAGAGCGAGGUGAUCAACGAGCCCAUGGCAAAGCAAGUGGCACUGUUGAAGACCAACAUAUAGAGCUGUUGAUCCUGAUAGGCUUCGGUGAUGAUCCAGUAUGCAUUGGAAACGAACUCAAAGCCGCACAUCACCUGCAAUCCCAACAUGCCCCAGCCGUAGCAAUCGCUGAACGUUUCGUAGCACUCGAAGAUGCAGUCGUAGGUCAGACGCAGCGUCUGCAAAUGUCGAUCAUCCUGCUGGCCAAAGGGUUGCCAAAUAUCAUUGCUGUCCGCCAAACAGAGCAGCGAGUGACGCAGCUGCAGCGCUCUUUGAUUCAUCUCGAUGACCUGCUCCAACAGCUGCACAUAUCGUAUGCGCAGCAGCCACAUUUGUGGCAUGGUCCUCGCCAGCACCGGGGAAACAUUCGCUCUCGAAUUGGCCCAAAACUUGGCUGCAUCCGAGACGAGUUGUGUGGCAAUGAGCACGAAGAGACGCAUCGCCCGACGUGGACAACCACGGGACAUGGCCAAGCGUUGCAUCUGCAGUUGGGAUUGAAAGCGCAAGUCUUGGAGACGUUCCUGGGAACGCUGUUUAAAUAUGCUCUCGAUUUGCAGCAACACGCCCAGCAUGGAGUAGCCGAGGAAUAGCGAUGAGCCAGUUAUGUAGCUAAUGGACAAACCUUUCUCCUUCCACAAGAAACUAAUGCCAGUGUAGAGCAUUAUGUAGAAGUAGAGUGACCAAAUGCAGCGCAGCAAUAAAGCGAAAACCAAACGCAUGAGCUGCGAGCCAGGCGGCAGAGGCAACAAUCCCAUCAGCCAGUAGACGACUUGGAGACAGCGCGCGGUGAGACACUCGAAGGACUUCAUGCCGAUUCCGAAAUGGAACUGUGCCAACAGAAUAAGGCAUCAGUUUCAUGUGUUCAGUUGCAUGCACCGGGCACUUCAGACACACAUCGAGGAGGCAACCACCUCGCCAAGAGUGACACUUUGGCAUGUGCGGCCAAUUAGCGAUGCCAACCGAUGGUUGCAAACAAAUAGAAAACGCUGACGGCCAAUUGCCGGCACCAGUCAGCCAACCAGCCAGCCAGCUAUCCAGCAGAGUCAGAGAAUCAGCCACCCAAAACCAGAGCAGAACAGAACAACAAGAGUUGAAGCAACCCACAUAAUGCCACACAGACGUUCGUCGAGUGCAUUUUGUUGCAAGCUGUGCAGAUUUUUAUGAGUUCUGCUGUCGACUGCAUGACUGACUGCUGCUGCUGUUGCUGCUGUGUGUUCAAAUGUGGAAAUAGAGACAUGUUGGCUUUUCUGCUUCCGAUUCGCAAUAGUUGAUGUUACCAUCUGCCACAACAUGCAUGUGUUUGCCGAGUGUGUGUGUGUGCAGCCAUUGUUGCACAAACAAACCCGCACAUACAUGUGAAGAGAGAGCUGGAGAGACGGAGGGGCUGCCACAUAUGCUAAUACAUGAACGCAGCCAACCAAAGGAUGUUUCCAUCUCCAAUCUGAUGAAUCCGCCUGCCGCCCACUUCAGCUUUCAACUAAUCCCAGAAACUUUUGCUUCAAUCCACAAAAGUUGCAUCGAUAAAAGUUAAGCAGUCUUAAAUGCGACAUCAUAAAGCAUCUAUGGACAUUUAAAUAUCUGUCUGGAAGGAAAGCAUACGAUAUACUACUCUGGCAUUUGGAAGA